rnacentral:misc_RNA from 1 species
UCCCCGUUAUCCGAGGCGGUUUCGCCAGAGUGCCCAACUGAAUGAUGGCAACUGACAAUAAGGGUUGCGCUCGUUGCGGGACUUAACCCAACAUCUCACGACACGAGCUGACGACAGCCAUGCAGCACCUAUAUAGCGACCCUUGCGGGAAGGGAUGUUUCCACCCCGGUCCACUACAUUUCGAGCCCAGGUAAGGUUCUUCGCGUUGCGUCGAAUUGAACCACAUGCUCCACCGCUUGUGCGGGCCCCCGUCAAUUCCUUUGAGUUUCAGUCUUGCGACCGUACUCCCCAGGCGGAUUGCUUAUCGCGUUAGCUUCGGCACGGCGGGAUUGGGUACCCGACACACCAAGCAAUCAUCGUUUAGGGCUAGGACUAC